CACCACAGUGGGAACUCCUAGAAGAGCAUUUAAAGAGAUUGAAGUGAGAGUUGUCCAUUGGGUUGGGAGGAGCAGAGAGGAGGAAAGUGCUUGGUGGUGUUGGGGGGAUGUACCAGGAUGAUACGGUGAGGUAGUAACCGAAGGUUCUAGUUUUCAGCGUUUUUCCAGCCACCCACCAGCCCAGCACUUGCUAAGCAGGAAGCUGGGAGCAGGGGCAACAUCUGUAACAAUUUUCCUAGUGGAAUUAUUACACCAAAAGUGCGGAGAGAAACAAGGAAUUCCUGUUGGGGUUCAGUGGUAAUGAAACCAACUAGGAUGCAUGAGGAUGCAGGUUCGAUCCCUGGCUUCACUCAGUGGGUUAGGGAUCUGGUGUUGCUGUGAGCUGUGGUGUAGGCUGGCAGCUGCAGCUCCAAUUCAACCCCUAGCCUGGGAACUUCCAAAUGCUGCAAGUGUGGCCCUAAAAAUCAAAACAAAAACAAAGAAACAAGAGCCAAGUGUCAGCGUUUAAGUUUCAGAAGAGACUUUUGUGAAGAUGGAGAGUAGCCAGAAUAGACAGAACCCGGGGGCGAGAUGGAGGCAGGUGUGUCGAUCAAUGCCAGCGACCACGAGUGGGAGUAGGAACCGCAGUCCAUUCUAACGAGAAGAGAGGCUGACACCGGAGAACAGAUGCUUCGUGGCCGCGGAACUCAGGCCAGACCGAAGAGGAAGGGAUGCGGGAGAAACCCCAUGACCGCGGGGGCCAAAAAACCAAAAAACCAAAAACAAACGUUGAACCGAUUGUUUGCCACGACUUGCUUAAAACGUAACUUUCUGCUCCUCAGCAGAAGGGGUGCUAGCAGUAGAAAAAUAAAAUUAUGUUGCUGUGGAAUCUAUUGAACAUUUGCAGAUGCUGUGCCUAGACUUUGGAACGGCUGGCACAGGAAAAUGUGCAACUUUCGAGACCUUCUUAGAGUUUCGGACUUAAACGGGUGCUUCCUAGACUGCAUCGCAGGUCACUUGCUUCCUCUUCUCCCUCACUCGCGCCUCUGACAUUUCUCUCUUUUUCUUGCUCCUGCUCUUAGCACGUUCCUCAAGACUUUGGAGCGUCUAAGAUAUGCUUCUAAUUUUUCCAACAAGAAGAACCCCAGUCGGAUUAAGCCGACACUCUGCUUCCCUAGAGCGGGGUCUGCAGCUGAAAGAGCUCAACGUGAAAGCUCAGCCAUGUUGCCCGUGGGUCAGAGGGUCCGUAAGACCUUCCACUGUUCUCCAAACAGGUGGUCACCUGGGGUGCUGGAUGUUUCUUUCUUUCUCCCCAAAUCCCAAGUGAUUCAGCCAGGCAAACACUCCAAUGCCAAGACUUCAGCCAGAAUAAACCAACCUCGAAAUGGAAAGAAAGGCCCCUGUGUUUGUCUGGGACUCCAAAGUCCUGUCACAGACCUCAAAAACAAACUUAGGGUUACCAAAGGGGAAAUGUCGGGGUCGGGGGAAGAUAAGUUAGGCGAUUGGAGUGAACAUAAACACACUGCUAUGUGCAAAAUAGAUAAUUAACAAGGACACUGUAUAGCACUGGGAACUCCACUCGGUGGUCUGCAAUAACCUGUGUAGGAGAAGAAGCUGAAAAAGGAUGGACACAGGUCUGUGUAUAACUGAUCCCUUUGCUGUACACCUGAAACCGACACACCAUUGUAAGUCAACUGCAUGCCUCUCUAAAGUCAAAAUUCAAUAAACAUGUAAGUCCCAGGGGAAAAAAAAGGAUGAAAAGGAAACGAGACUCUCAAUUCAAAAGGACAAAGGCUGAGGCGAUGAAAUUUGCAAAGAAUUUUCUGAGGAAAAUAUGGAGACAGGCCAGUAGAGCAUGGGAAGGGGAGGGUGGUAAUUAGGACAGAAAGGCUGGGAAUAAAGAAACAUCAGCGCCUUUAUUUAUUUACUUAUUUGUCUAUCUCUUUUGUCUUUUUAGGGCCGCGCCGGAGGGAUAUGGAGGUUCCCAGGCCAAGGGUCAAAUUGGAGCUGCAGCCGCUGGCCUACACCACAGCCACAGCAAUGCAGGAUCCGAGCCGCACCUGUGACCCACACCACAGCUCAUGGAAUUGCUGAUCCCUGACCCACUGAGCGAGGCCAGAGAUCGAACCCACUUCCUCACGGAUACUAGUCGUGUUCGUGACUGCUGAGUCCCAUCGGGAUCUCCGGCACCUUUAAAAAUAAAACAAAUAAAAGGUAAAAUGACCUGUGGAUGGCAUCUUUUUUUUCCGCCACCCAUCCAUCGAUUCAAUAAACACAGUCUGAAUGCUGUUAUGUGCCAGGUUUGGUGAUAAGCCAUACAGUUCCUUUUCCCCUAAAAUUUGGUAUUUUAAUAUAAUAUACUAAACUUACAAAUAAAAGAGACAACUAGUCUAAAAAGACACGGUUACAGAUUAGCUCUGAUUUUUUUCCAGCUCAUGCUCCCUAACCGCAACCUCACCAUCCUUCCCUGUUUCUCAGACCACACCAGAGAUGCCUGGCAAUGCCUGUUCCCCCUUGUCAUCUGGAAAACGUCCAGUCUCCAAGAGAGCCUGCUCCUGAUGUCUUAGGUUAUAUGCAGCCUUUCCUGCUGAUCCUGCUACCAGCCCACCCCACCUCCCUGACCAGUGUUUGCAGCCUCCUUUUGCUCCUAAACCCCUCAUGUUGGCACUUAAUAUGAGUUGCAAGGACCUAUGCAUGUGUCUGUAUUCCUUUGUGGAAUGCAGUUUCCUUCAGAGAACCUGGGGCCCACAUCUCCAGUUCGUCUCCCCUAGUGUCCGGUAGAUGGUCACCGAAAGAUUUCUUAAAGGGUGGAAACUAUAGAUCCCAAAGACAAAUAAAACCAUGUUUUGAUGACCUGGGCUCAACAAAGUUCAUCGCCUGAGUAGCCCUGUUCCAUUCACCCCUGAUGCUCCUGCGAGCUGGUCACAGAAGCAAAGGGCUGCUAGCAUUUCUGACCUGAGAUUCAGGACCAGAUUAAUUCCCAACGUCCAGACAAAGGCAGAAGGCAGCAUUGCACAACUCAUAGCAAGCUCGCUUAUGUAAAUAUCAUUUUGCCUGUUCUCUCUCUCUGAGUCCGGAUCUGGCUCCAAUGUCAGCACAGAGUUCUGAUGGGGAUAUAACCUUCUCACCAGGCUUCGGCUGAGUAUUUAUGAAUGUUCCGUAGUAGCUGCCUUGUAUUGUUCCUGGAAGACUUUCAUUAUUUAAAGAAUCAUUAAUCAUAUGCAGAGGGAAGACAAGAGAGCCAAGCCCUGUGAUGUGGUUUAUGAUGGCUUCUUCUUCCCAGAUGAGCCAGAUAGCAACCUCAGCCAAGGCUUUCCCCCCAAAUCUCUUAUUUCCUGUAUCGAUCUGCGCACAUUUCCACGCCGAGGCAGAAUUCUACUACCUUGCAUCCUGCUAAAGAACAUGCCAGGCAGAGGUCUCCUGCCGUGGCCUUCGUUGGUUGGUUAGCACUCCUACUCUUUGGAGCUCAUGAUUUAGGGCAGAUGCUAAGGCCUGGAAUUAUAUCUCAGGCUUACUUCUAAUAAGGCCCUCAUAGCUCUUCAUCAACUACCCAACACAAGGAUGAGAAUUCUUUCUAGAAUUUCAGAGCUUGAUAGGGAAGAGCCCCGACUCUGGGCGUUUGACAUAGUCUUGGAUAUCUAUCAAAUACCUAUUAUAUGAUAGGCAUUACCUAUCGAAUACACAUGAUAGGAUAGACAAUUCCCUCCCUUUACUCUGUUUAAUAGAUAAAGAAAGAUAAGAGGGAGUGUAUCAGGUUGCUAUGGAUAAUUAACUAAUCAUUCCCAAAUCCAGUGGUUUAAAACAAUGAGCAUUUAUCAGUGCCUUUGCAUCAAGUGGUCACAUGGCUGGUUCUUCUUGUUUCCACAGAGCUAACUCAAGCACCUGGGAUUAGCUCAUUGUCUCGGGUCAGUGGGGUAUGGGGUUCUGCCGGUCAAGGAAACGGACUUGGCCAUGUUUGUGAGGUGUCUCAUUUCUUUCCUUUUUAUUUAUUUUUUCUUUUUCUAGGGCUGCACCUGCGGCAUAUGGAAGUUCCCAGGCUAGGGGGCGAAUUGGAGCUGCAGCUGCCGGCCCAUGCAGCAAUGCUGGAUCCUUAACCCACUGAGUGGGGCCAAGGAUAGAACCCCCAUCCUCAGGGAUACUCGUUGAGUUCUUAACCCACUGAACCACAAUAGGAACUCCUAAGCUUCCCAUUUCUGGCAGGUUUGGCCAGCGUGGUCCUUGGGCUGCUCUGGGCAGGGCUUGAACAAUGUAUAGAAACAGACAGGUUCCCUGGAGGCCUAGGCUGGAAACUGUUCCACUUUAGUUCUAUUGCAUUUUUUGGUAUUGUUGUUUCCUUUGUGUUUUUUUGCCAAAGCGAACCUCAAGAAUGUUCCAGAGUGAAGAAGUCGGGGAAUAAUUCUGCCCCUUGAUGUGAGUGGUUGUAAAAUCCCAUCGUACGGGGGAUGGCGGGAAGACGCCUGUUUGAUCCGUCCCAGACGUGUUCUUUGUCAUGAUGUGGGAAACGCGAUUAAAGAAGAGAGAAACGUGUUUUCGGUCUCGACGGAGAAAGGCCGCGAGGUGCAUUGUGUCCAUGAUGGGAAGGUUAUCUCACGUUAAAACCGGCUGAGCACACAUAGUUCAGCAGGAGAGUCAGAUAAACAAAGAUAAGUUUCCCCAAAAGUUAAAAAUACAGGCGUUCCUGUUGUGGCUCAGUGGGUUAAGAACCCAACACAGUGUCCAAGAUGAUACAGUUUGAUCCCUGGCCUCACUCAGUGGGUUAAGCAGCCAGGGUUGCUGCAAACUGCAGCAUAGGUCACAGAUGCAGCCCUGAUUCAACCCCUAGUCUGAGAACUUCAAUAUGCUGCAGGUG
rnacentral:lncRNA from 1 species